rnacentral:rRNA from 1 species
AGCUCUGCGAGUUUGCUCCCAUAUUGUUGCAGUUAAAACGCCCGUAGUCGGAAUUGGACAGCAAUGUCCCUACGUUUCAACGUUCACUGUGAACAAAUCAGGACGCUUAGAGUAUGGUAACAAGAAUGACUCAGCGCAGUAUGAAGUCUUUGUUUCUUUCGGGAAACAAGCUCAAUGAGAGCCAUCGGGGGUGGAUCUAUUUCAUGGCGAGUGGUGGAAUACUUUGACCCAUGAGAGAGACACGGAGGCGAAGGCGUCCACCUAGAGGGUUUCUG